rnacentral:tRNA from 1 species
UCCCCCUUGGCCUAAUGGCAGGGCAUCUGACUUUGACUCAGAAAGUCCACGUUCGAAUCGUGGAGGGGGAGCCA